UUGCUAUGAUGAUAUUUUUUGGUCCGUGUUUAUGAAGUCUUAUGAUUUUACCAUAACCACCUCUGAUGUA